UCCCCAUUUACCAACCCAAGCAAGUAAGCCCACCUGAGCCACAGAACCUUCUCCCUCCCUACAAAAGGCUCAGGAGUAGGAGGCACCAGACAGCUUUUAUCGUCUCUAACACUAACUCAGUUUUGAAUAAAUUGAAGAGCGAGGAAGAGUCAAAGGAAAAAAUGCUGGGUCAGUGAUUACCCUUGAAAAUACUUUGCAAUUACAAAAACAAACAUUUAAUGAACUGAUCCAGUUAGUCACCAACAGAAUACUUAAGUACGCCUCUUGAUUCCUUUAUUGGAAGAACUAUGACCCAUCCAAAUCAUUCUUCAAAGUCAGUCUGUCUGUGAAGAAUAAAACAAUGAUUGCUAAUAAAAUGUUUAGGACUAUUAGAGGUUAUAUAAAGUAUUAGUGUUAGGUCUGUAGUUUGUCCAGCUUUUCUGGGAAAUGUCUCAGUUUAGAGAGAUAAAACCUGGUUCACCUAACUGUGAACUAGAUCCCAGACAUGGCUGAAACUGGGCCAGGGUCCUUCCCUAAGAAUUUGGAGGUGGGACUAUGCUAUCCAGCUUGGUCUGGCUGCUGUCUUCAACUAUGGAAAUGGAUAACUCCCACCACAUGAAAUGGAGAAUGACAAAACUAGUCUGCAGCAAGAAAUCAGGAUGAAAUAACCGAGAAAAGCUGACAAAGGUGAAUUAAAGACAAGAACCCCUCAUCGGC
ensembl:lncRNA WASF3-AS1 WASF3 antisense RNA 1